rnacentral:rRNA from 1 species
AAUAUUGCACAAUGGGCGCAAGCCUGAUGCAGCAACGCCGCGUGCGCGCGGAAGGCCUUCGGGUCGAAAAGCGCUUUCCGGGGAGAUGAGCAAGGACAGUACCCCCGGAAGAAGGAUCGGAGAAUUACGUGCCAGCAGCCGCGGUAAUACGUAGGAUCCGAGCGUUAUCCGAAUUCACUGGGCGUAAAGCGCUUGAAGGCGGCCGAACAAGUUGGAUGUGAAAUCUCCCGGCUCAACUGGGAGGGGACGUUCAAAACUAUGCGGCUGGAGGGCGGUAGAGGAAGGUAGAAUUCCCGGUGUAGUGGUGAAAUGCGUAGAUAUCGGGAGGAAUACCCGUGGCGAAGGCGACCUUUUGGACCGUUUCUGACGCUCAGAUGCGAAAGCUAGGGGAGCGAACGGG